rnacentral:ribozyme from 1 species
UGCCCAGCAACUCAUAUCCCUACCUCCUCGCGGUACUGGCCGGGGUACGAGUAACCUUAGGGAAGAUCGUGUAACCAACCCCCGGUGGGAACUUUGGUCGUAUGCUGACAGGGAAGG